GUUAUAUGGUCAAGCGAAUAAGCGCACAUGGUGGAUGCCUUGGCGGUCAGAGGCGAUGAAGGACGUGGUAGCCUGCGAAAAGUGUCGGGGAGCUGGCAACAAGCUUUGAUCCGGCAAUAUCCGAAUGGGGGAACCCACUGUUUAGGCAGUAUCUUUGAGUAAAUUCAUAGCUCAAGGAGGCGAACCUGGUGAACUGAAAUAUCUAAGUAACCAGAGGAAAAGAAAUCAACAGAGAUUCCCUGAGUAGUGACGAGCGAACGGGGAUUAGCCCUUAAGCUAGUAUGGUUUUAGGAAAGCAAUCUGGAAAGGUUGGCCAUAGAAGGUGAUAGCCCUGUAUCCGAAAGGGCCGUACUAGUGAAGAUGAGUAGGACGGGGCACGUGAAACCUUGUCUGAAUAUGGGGGGUCCAUCCUCCAAGGCUAAAUACUCCUGACCGACCGAUAGUGAACUAGUACCGUGAGGGAAAGGCGAAAAGAACCCCGGAGAGGGGAGUGAAAUAGAACCUGAAACCAUGUGCGUACAAGCAGUAGGAGCCCUUAUGGGUGACUGCGUACCUUUUGUAUAAUGGGUCAGCGACUUACUGUUCGUGGCGAGCUUAACCGUAUAGGGGAGGCGAAGGGAAACCGAGUCUGAUAAGGGCGCAUAGUCGCGGGCAGUAGACCCGAAACCGGGUGAUCUAGUCAUGUCCAGGGUGAAGGUGCUGUAACAGGUACUGGAGGCCCGAACCCACUCCCGUUGCAAAGGUAGGGGAUGAGGCGUGAUUAGGAGUGAAAAGCUAAUCGAACCCGGAGAUAGCUGGUUCUCCUCGAAAGCUAUUUAGGUAGCGCCUCAUAUGUAUCCUCUCGGGGGUAGAGCACUGUUAUGGCUAGGGGGUCAUCGCGACUUGCCAAACCAUUGCAAACUCCGAAUACCGAGAAGGACUGUAUGGGAGACACACGGCGGGUGCUAACGUCCGUCGUGAAAAGGGAAACAACCCAGACCCACAGCUAAGGUCCCAAAUUCAUAGCUAAGUGGAAAACGAUGUGGAAAGGCAUAGACAGCCAGGAGGUUGGCUUAGAAGCAGCCAUCCUUUAAAGAAAGCGUAAUAGCUCACUGGUCGAGUCGGUCUGCGCGGAAGAUUUAACGGGGCUAAGCUAUGAACCGAAGCUUGGGGUGCAUAUUUUUAUAUGCGCGGUAGAGGAGCGUUCCGUAAGCCUGUGAAGGUGAGUUGAGAAGCUUGCUGGAGGUAUCGGAAGUGCGAAUGCUGACAUGAGUAACGAUAAUAUGGGUGAAAAACCCAUACGCCGAAAGCCUAAGGUUUCCUUGCGCAACGUUAAUCGGCGCAGGGUUAGUCGGCCCCUAAGGCGAGGGCGAAAGCCGUAGUCGAUGGGAAGCAGGUUAAUAUUCCUGCACCUCGCGUGAGUGCGAUGGAGGGACGGAGAAGGCUAGGUGUACCGGGCGUUGGUUGUCCCGGGGAAAGGAGGUAGGCUGGUUCCUUAGGAAAAUCCGGGGGUCCUUUUAAAGCCGAGCACCGAGACGAGUCUUUUUAGAUGAAGUCACUGAUGCCACGCUUCCAGGAAAAGCUUCUAAGCUUCAGCUCACGAAGACCGUACCGUAAACCGACACAGGUAGGUAGGAUGAGAAUUCUCAGGCGCUUGAGAGAACUCGGGUGAAGGAACUAGGCAACAUGGCACCGUAACUUCGGGAGAAGGUGCACCCUUUUUGGUGGCGCGUGCGCGUUAUAGCUGAAGAGGGUCGCAGAAACCAGGCCGCUGCGACUGUUUAUCAAAAACACAGCACUCUGCAAACACGAAAGUGGACGUAUAGGGUGUGACGCCUGCCCGGUGCUGGAAGGUUAAUUGAUGGGGUUAGCUGUAAAAAGCGAAGCUCUUGAUCGAAGCCCCAGUAAACGGCGGCCGUAACUAUAACGGUCCUAAGGUAGCGAAAUUCCUUGUCGGGUAAGUUCCGACCUGCACGAAUGGCGUAACGACAGCGGCGCUGUCUCCACCCGAGACUCAGUGAAAUUGAAAUCGCUGUGAAGAUGCAGCGUUCCCGUGGCAAGACGGAAAGACCCCGUGAACCUUUACUAUAGCUUUACACUGAACGUUGAGUUCGUCUGUGUAGGAUAGGUGGGAGGCUAUGAAACCAUGACGCUAGUUGUGUUGGAGCCAUCCUUGAAAUACCACCCUGUCGUGCUUGACGUUCUAACCUAGUUCCGUUAUCCGGAUCAGGGACAGUGUAUGGUGGGUAGUUUGACUGGGGCGGUCUCCUCCCAAAGAGUAACGGAGGAGCA
rnacentral:rRNA from 1 species